rnacentral:rRNA from 1 species
AUUGAACGCUGGCGGCGUGCCUAACACAUGCAAGUCGAACGGAGUGGCGCACGGGUGAGUAAUGAAUAGCUAAUCUGCCCUACACUAGAGGACAACAACUGGAAACGACUGCUACUACUCCAGAGUUUAGGUUGAGGCUAUACUGUAUCAGCUAGUUGGUGAGGUAAUGGCUCACCAAGGCGAUGACGCAUAACUGGUCUGAGGGGAUGAUCAGUCAACCUGGAACGGAGGCACUGUCCAGACUCCUACGGGAGGGAGCAGAAGGGAAUAGUGCUCAAUGGGGGAGAACCUGAAGCAGCAACGCCGCGUAAAGGAUGACACUUUUCGGAGAGUAAACUCAUUGUGAUAGGGAAGCGGUACCUGACGAAUAAGCACAGGCUAACUCCGUGCCAGCAGCCGCGGUAAUAC